rnacentral:lncRNA from 1 species
GGGGCAAUCAAAAUUUAGCCACCAAGCUUACCAUACAAUAGAAGAAAAGACUAUAUAGUAGAUGUUCCAGCACUUCCCACCACAGUUUCUGUGCUUCUGCUAUUGUCAAUUGGGCUUUAUCUAAUUCAAAAUGUAUUGGCAUUGAUAUGAUGGAGUAAGAUGCUGCUGGAUAACAGGUCCAGAUGUUUCUAGCAAAUUGCAUCAUGAGAUUUGCCUAACACCUCACAGUAGAAGACAGUAUUGAAAUUGUUGCCUCUUGGUUGGAAUUAUGCUAGCAAAACCCUUUUUCGUCUCAAAAACAGUCUUAGUUGAUUGUGUUUUGAGAUGGCCACUGACAACUGUAAUAUUUCUGGUGCACAGAAGAACUGAUUGGAUUCAGAUUGUUAGUGGUGCACCCAUGAUUUGUCAUCUGCGACAAUUUAGAUCAGCAUAUCCUGUCCUUCCAUGGCAUACUAAGCAGAUGCUGCUAGGACAGGCCCACGCAUAUCAAUUUUUCUUCCACCAAAGUUGUCAGGGCAUCCAGCAUGCACACACUUUAUGGAACUUCAGAUAAUCGUACAUAAUACUAUAGACUAAACCAUGUGAAC